CCCUUAGAUGUUCUGGGCCGCACGCGCGCUACAAUGAUGAAUUCAACGAGUUUAUAACCUUGGCUGAAAAGCCUGGGUAAUCUUUUGAACUUUCGUCGUGAUGGGGCUAGACCCUUGCAAUUAUUGGUCUCCAACGAGGAAUUCCUAGUAAACGCAAGUCAUCAGCUUGCAUUGAUUACGUCCCUGCCCUUUGUACACAUUGCCCGUCGCACCUACCGAUUGAAUGGUCCGGUGAAAUCUUCGGAUUGAGACUUUGUUUUCUUCACGGAAAACGCUGUUUUAAAAAGUUGAUUAAACCUUACCAUUUAGAGGAAGGUGAAGUCGUAACA
rnacentral:rRNA from 1 species